GGACUUGAUACGGGGUGCCUGUAUGUACAAAAUUGAAGCCCAUGACGACAUGACGUCGCACUUGCCUGUUCCCCGAGUUACGCAAUAUCGCUCGGACUGAACGAACGAAUACGGUUUUGGGAUAGAUUUCAGGGUUAGCCGCUCAACACCAUGACCGUCAGUCAUGCAUAUUCAUCGCUUGUGAUGCUGACGCUUCUGAACGAAGCCAUUGCUAGCACGAGUUUUUGAUUUGGAAGGAUAGUUGCUGAGGACCAUUCUCACAAUAAGUUUAUAAUAUCCAUUACAUGAUCAAAUGCGCUGAUGGGUUAGGCUUUGGAUUCGGCUAUAUUCCAUCGUCAUUGAAGCUAGAUCAUAGAAUCAUGUUAAUUUGACAGACUGCAAGUGUUAUUAGUAGCACAAACAGCUAGCAGCCCAGCUAGUAUUGUUCUUUCUGCUUGCAACCAACCUGGUUAUAUUGAUGUCAAUGCUAAAUUCGCUGUUGCAGCUGUAUGGUCGCUAUACUGUUCCAUGUGUUAUGGGAUUCGCUAUUAACAUGGGACAGUUAUGCUUAGAGCACCAGAUUCUAAAAGCGACCAAUUUUGGCCAAUCACUGGAGACAAAAUCACG